CUUUGAAUUGCGGGAUAAACAGUUGGAGUGGAACGACGCCGUACCUUUCCCGUUAGGUUUAAAUGCUGUAUAAAAGACCAUGACGGAAUGCCCCUGGCAGCAGCAACAGAGGUAGAAGAAACCGGGAUGCUUUGACGCUCUGUUCUGUUCAACUUCAAUUGCUUCGCUAGCAGAAUCUGCAAAACGGUGUCCUGAUGGAGGAAAAAAAGCCGUCGCCACAAGCAGGGGUGGUGUUGUUUGUGCUUAAGGGAAAAUCGGUCCUGUUGGGGCGCUGCCGCUCCUCCAUCGGUGACUCCACAGUUGCUCUCCCUAGUGGUUAACUCGAGGGAGAGCUUUGAGGACUGCGGUGCUAGAGAGCUGAAGGAGGAAACGAGUUUGGAAAUGGAGAAAGCAGAGUACUUAACAGUGACCAACAACCUCUUCCUGGACGAACCCUAACCAGCCCAUUACGUCACCAUCUUUCUGCGUGCAGUGUUGGGGGAUCCCGAUCAAGUCCCGCAAAACCUGAAGCCAAAUAAGUGCGAUGGAUGGGAUUGGUGUGAUUGGGAUAAACUGCCCCAGCAUUAGUUUUGGCCACUGGAGAAAAUGGUACGAAAUGGCUUCAAUCAUUUUCCAUCUCAAUCUCAUCCAGUUGACAGUUGCUGAAUGCGUUUUAAGAUUUUGCUUUGUUGCUUUCUGAUGACUGAUCGAUGGGUUUCAUGAUGCUGUAUUGUAAUUGUAUUGUACGGUCAAUGUGAAUUUUGAUGGUUUUUAUUUUCUAGCCAAGAUUAAAAGAUUUGCAAAUUGGAGUUUUCAUGAAUUUACCAAGUGCAAAUUUAGGAAUUUCGCCCCCAGUUUAUUAUUAUUAUUAUUAUUAUUGUUAUUAUUUUACUCACUCUUAAGCGGAAUAAAUCUUUAUUUAAGAAAAAUUUGCUUUGGAUAUCCUUUGCUAGUGGCGAGUGAUUACAUCACUCUUGAAUUUCAUGAACGUUGAGGUACCUUUACAUUUGUUGGUUUUACAGAGAAAAAAAAAAAAAA